rnacentral:rRNA from 1 species
AUUGAACGCUGGCGGCAUGCUUUACACAUGCAAGUCGAACGGCAGCGGGUCCUUCGGGAUGCCGGCGAGUGGCGAACGGGUGAGUAAUGCAUCGGAACGUACCGUGUAAUGGGGGAUAACGUAGCGAAAGUUACGCUAAUACCGCAUACGCCCUGAGGGGGAAAGCGGGGGAUCGCAAGACCUCGCGUUAUACGAGCGGCCGAUGUCGGAUUAGCUAGUUGGUGGGGUAAAGGCCCACCAAGGCGACGAUCCGUAGCGGGUCUGAGAGGAUGAUCCGCCACACUGGGACUGAGACACGGCCCAGACUCCUACGGGAGGCAGCAGUAAGGAAUAUUGGACAAUGGCCGCAAGGCUGAUCCAGCCAUGCCGCGUGCAGGAAGACGGACCUAUGGUUUGUAAACUGCUUUUGAACGGGAGAAACCCCCCUACGUGUAGGGGGCUGAUAGUACUGUUAGAAUAAGCAUCGGCUAACUUCGUGCCAGCAGCCCGCGGUAAU